AAAGUCGUAACAAGGUAACCGUAGGUGAACCUGCGGUUGGAUCAUUACAAAUUUUACUUGUUGACGCCGUCCCGAUUCCUUUUCAGGUCGGGCGGCCGAUGCAAUUAAUCCACCUUUGUGAACAUAUUUUUUUCGGCGUUGGGGGGGCGUCGCGCGGCGCGGGCGAGAGCUCCGCUGGGCGCGCUUUCCCUCCAGCCACAACCUACAACACGUCAAUUUCUACAAUUCUUCUGACACCAUGAGAAACAAAAAGAGAAACAACUUUAGACAACGGAUCUCUUGGCUCUC
rnacentral:misc_RNA from 1 species